UGCCAAGGGUUUACUGAUGUCUCACCCUGGU
rnacentral:piRNA from 1 species